GAAAUGCGAUAAGUAAUGUGAAUUGCAGAAUUCAGUGAAUCAUCGAAUCUUUGAACGCACAUUGCGCCCGCCAGUAUUCUGGCGGGCAUGCCUGUUCGAGCGUCAUUUCAACCAUCAAGCCCCCGGCUUGUGUUGGGGACCUGCGGCUGCCCGCAGGCCCUGAAAACCAGUGGCGGGCUCGCUGUCACACCGAGCGUAGUAGCAUACAUCUCGCUCAGGGCGUGCUGCGGGUUCCGGCCGUCAAAAGCCUUUUUUUACCCAAGGUUGACCUCGGAUCAGGUAGGAAGACCCGCUGAACUUAAGC
rnacentral:misc_RNA from 1 species